UUCACCCCAUAGAUAGUGUCUGGUGUCAGUGUCGUUUGCGAAAAUGUGAAGCGUGUAAUCAGAAAUAUUGUCUUUCUUGAUCGAUUGUUUAUAGUGAUUUAACCAUUUUUACUACAGUAUUUUGUCUUUUUAUUGAAGAAAAGCAGACCAAUAUAAAAAAAAUUAGAAACUCCUGUACGACAGAUUGUGUGUGUUUUUUAUUCUUGAGAAUACUAGAAGAUGGAGGUUUUCAAUCCUUUCGUUAGUGACAUGUUACAGUCCAUAUCAAAAGGGCUAGAUCCAACUGAUAAGGACAAUUUACCAUUCCAAAAAGAAGAAGGGUCAUUUAAGAGAUAUUAUCCAAAUCAAUGUCAAAUAUGCUACUGCAUUGAUAACGAGAAAAGCCCUCUGAAAAGAUGCUCGCGGUGUCAUCUUGUCUCUUACUGUAGUAAAGAUCAUCAAGCAAAAGACUACAAGCAGCACAAAUCUCUGUGUAAAGUUUUAUCUGAACUCGGUGGUCCUCGUUUGUUUCAAGAUUUAAAGAAAACUGAAUAUCCAAAAGAUGUUUCGUUCGCGGCUAAAGUAGAGCUCUCAACAAAGCGAUCGAUUCUGAAACACGCUGUUCUCUCAAGAAUUACGACAAAACUUGAUCGGAAACCUUUCUUGUACGAACUGCAGAUUGUGAAUUUUCCGAGAGUUUGUUCUGUCUGUUUUGAAAGUGAUCCUGCACUGUUACGGAGUUGCGCGAACUGUCCCCAAUCUAGUUUCUGCGAGAAACACGGUCAAGAUAAAACUCACUCAAAAUACUGCUCGGGAUAUAAUCUAGCUCGUGAAAUUGAGUUGGACAAGGUCGGAAAGUCGUGUUUCGAAUUGGAGAUGACACAGUUAAAAACUUUUCAUUUUCCUUGUCAACAAAAAAAAUCUUCUCUGCCAAGUUCUAUGAAGAACUUUAUCAAGAACAAUUGCUGCCUGAGAGUGAAAAGAAAUGCCAAACUAGAAGGAGUGCUUUCUAAACAACUAUGGGAUGUUUACCUCUCGGAAUCAAUUUGUCUGCCGCUGACUAUUUUGUACUCUUUAGAGAAAUUAAAGCUUCAAGUCGAAUCUAAUUUGGUGUUGCAUGUCAUUGGUUCUUCUCGUCAUGAAAUGCAGAGUACAUUCUGGGAAUUAAUUCUACAUUGGUUACCAGCUGUAACUAGGCUGGAUAUGGUUUUCAUUGGACCAGAGUUGAGAUUUCUUUCGUCGAUGGACAAAGAAACUACUCCAGUGCAGAUUUGUAGAGACUGUAAAGCACGCAAGUUGAAUUUUCAUACAUUCGACGGAUUGUAUGAGAAUUAUGUUGGCAGUGAAAACUACCUAAAGCCUACGAUGCUUGCUGCUUUCAAUGCAGGCUUUCACGCUUAUGCUACCUGGAGUCAAGCGUUUGAAAAAAUGGCAAGUUUGCACUGUCCACUUAUUUGCACUGCCUUUUCGGAUAUGGAAGCAUUUCGAGAUCACGACUGGUUCAAGAGUUGCGUAUCUGGUGCUGAAUACUUUUCGCUCGAAGCCAAUCCAUUUGCAGGAUUUAGGUGCGAAAGAAGUCCCGAAGAAGAGAAAGUUUUUGUACAUAAUGAAUACCUGACCAUUUACGAUUCGCUUUAAACGUGGUUAUUUAAAUAGCAGAUUCGGAUAAACAUGUUCAUACAAAAUUGGCAAAAAAGAAAAGAAAAACGUUUUCCGUGAUUUGGAGAUUUGAAGAAUUUAACGUUUGAUUUUGAACUGAAUUUGGCUCAAGCAGUGCAACGAAUGAUGAGACUACGAAAAAUGUAACAUUUUCUGUGCAAGUUGCGAAAUUUCCAAGAUUUAAUUACGAUACUCUACUUAAAGGCGACUUGAUUUAUUUCAUUCCUAUUUAAUUUCGCAUGAAACUUUUUUACGGAAUGUUUUGAAAGAUAUAUUUUUGAGAGAGUUUUGAUGAUUUUAAGCUUGAAAGUCUUCUUGAUUUAUAAAAUAUACACUGUUGCUAAAAAUGAGUUUUUUUUUAUCUACGUGUAAGUGUCAUUAAAUCCUUGAAUAUUAUAGAAUUAAAAAUAUAUUUAAUAUUUUGAAUAUUUUUAUACUUCAUAAUGUAAGAGAAUAAGAAUAUAAACAUUUAUUGCAACUUGCAACGGGUUGAGAACAAUAAAACAAUAUAUA